rfam:Eimeria praecox, Houghton, WGS project CBTT01000000 data, contig: Eph_scaff3664_1
GGGGAUAUAAUGACAAUGGUAGAAUAGUUCUUUUGCAAAGAAAAAGUUAGCGGUUCGAUUCCGCUUAUCUCCA